GUUUGCAUAUGAGACAUUUAUUUUUUCAAUAUUUAAGCUCAAUAACUUAAGCAAUCGUACUGAACCAAAUUAACCUUAUCAAGAUACUUAAUUGCCAAACACGAAAUACACAUUUGGCAACAGUGGCGCCUAAUGUCAUGUUUGUCAUUUGUCACGUUAAGGUUAUGUGAAGAAUUGAGCCUAAGUGUCAAAUUUAGUGUAGUCUUUAGGUAUUAUGCAUAAAAUUCCCAGUUAAUGAACCGCACCAUUAAUAUUCUAAAAAUAGGUGGGACGACGUAGAACAACGAGGUAACACAGAGUUCCCCUUUUUGUUGAUAUUUUAAGAUGUCUUCGAGCAAUUAGGCGUAUAAUACAACCGGCAUCCUCGCACAUAAUAUCCGAUUUCUAUCAGGAGAUGAAAAUACAAAACCGAAAGGUGCAACAACACCGAGUGCUCGGUUUCAAAAUAAAACGUUCGAUAAUCGGGACGAGAGAAGAGAGGACGUCGACGAGAAUUGCUCGGGUUUGGUAGAUCUUCCAUUUUUUUUUUUAAUUUUAAAGCCAGGUACACGCACACGAGCGGUUUAAAAACUCGUUUUGUUCAGAUAACAUACACACAGACCGAUUCGGUCUCAUUAUUAAGUGUUUUCUUUACACGAUUUGAGGUGUAUUAUCGUAUCGACGUAGGCGCAGCAGGUAUACGUUUUUAAAACGUUUAUUAUAUUCGAUCGACAGAUGGUAUGGUGAAGGAUGGAAUUAUUUAGUAGCACACACCCUCUUGGUAUUUUUUGAAUGGCCCUAGAAAGAGACAGUUUUGUUCUAUGUAUUUGAAAUUGGAUUGAGCAAGCCAACAACCAUACAUCCAUAGCAUGUAUACCUCUAGUGGUGUUAUCAGCAAAUAAUGAAAAUUGGCUGCUUAUAUAAGAAAAAUCCCUUUAAGCAAGGAAAUAUUCCAAGUUUUCCCCUUGGAGAAACUCAACAAGAAAAUUAUAUGAAGUUCUUCCAGGCAGUUCAAUGUUUCCAGACUCUUCAACAU